CAGCAGCCGCGGGAAUACGUAGGUGGCAAGCGUUGUCCGGAAUUAUUGGGCGCAAAGGGCUCGCAGGCGGUUUCUUAAGUCUGAUGUGAAAGCCCCCGGCUCAACCGGGGAGGGUCAUUGGAAACUGGGAAACUUGAGUGCAGAAGAGGAGAGUGGAAUUCCACGUGUAGCGGUGAAAUGCGUAGAGAUGUGGAGGAACACCAGUGGCGAAGGCGACUCUCUGGUCUGUAACUGACGCUGAGGAGCGAAAGCGUGGGGAGCGAACAGGAUUAGAUACCCCGGUAGUCCCUGUCUCUUAUAC
rnacentral:rRNA from 1 species